GCCCCCGUAGCUUAGCGGCUAUAAUCUUGGCUUUUGAGCAGCAGGUCAGGAGUUCAAAUCUCCUCGGGGGCU
rnacentral:tRNA from 2 species